rnacentral:rRNA from 1 species
GCAGUCGUACGCUUCUUUUUCCACCGGAGCUUGCUCCACCGGAAAAAGAGGAGUGGCGAACGGGUGAGUAACACGUGGGUAACCUGCCCAUCAGAAGGGGAUAACACUUGGAAACAGGUGCUAAUACCGUAUAACAAUCGAAACCGCAUGGUUUUGAUUUGAAAGGCGCUUUCGGGUGUCACUGAUGGAUGGACCCGCGGUGCAUUAGCUAGUUGGUGAGGUAACGGCUCACCAAGGCCACGAUGCAUAGCCGACCUGAGAGGGUGAUCGGCCACAUUGGGACUGAGACACGGCCCAAACUCCUACGGGAGGCAGCAGUAGGGAAUCUUCGGCAAUGGACGAAAGUCUGACCGAGCAACGCCGCGUGAGUGAAGAAGGUUUUCGGAUCGUAAAACUCUGUUGUUAGAGAAGAACAAGGAUGAGAGUAACUGUUCAUCCCUUGACGGUAUCUAACCAGAAAGCCACGGCUAACUACGUGCCAGCAGCCGCGGUAAUACGUAGGUGGCAAGCGUUGUCCGGAUUUAUUGGGCGUAAAGCGAGCGCAGGCGGUUUCUUAAGUCUGAUGUGAAAGCCCCCGGCUCAACCGGGGAGGGUCAUUGGAAACUGGGAGACUUGAGUGCAGAAGAGGAGAGUGGAAUUCCAUGUGUAGCGGUGAAAUGCGUAGAUAUAUGGAGGAACACCAGUGGCGAAGGCGGCUCUCUGGUCUGUAACUGACGCUGAGGCUCGAAAGCGUGGGGAGCAAACAGGAUUAGAUACCCUGGUAGUCCACGCCGUAAACGAUGA